UAGUAACGGCGAGUGAAGCGGGAAGAGCUCAAGCUUAAAAUCUCCGUGCAAGUUUUGCGCGGCGAAUUGUAGUCUAUAGAGGCGUGGUCAGCGUGAGCACUUGGGGCAAGUUCCUUGGAAGAGGACAGCAUGGAGGGUGAUACUCCCGUUCAUCCCUGAGUUGCUCGUGCGUACGACCCGUUUUCUUUGAGUCGCGUUGUUUGGGAAUGCAGCGCAAAGUAGGUGGUAAAUUCCAUCUAAAGCUAAAUAUUGGUGCGAGACCGAUAGCGAACAAGUACCGUGAGGGAAAGAUGAAAAGAACUUUGAAAAGAGAGUUAAAGAGUACCUGAAACUGCUGAAAGGGAACCGAAUCGUUUCCAGUGUCUAUAAUCUGUGGCAUAUUUCAUUGGCGAGUGUGUGCGUGCGUGUGCUGUGGCAGUGGCUUUUUUGGCUGCGCUCGGUGUGUGUGCUGUGUGUGCUUGCUGGUGCCCUGUGCUGCGGUGGGACGUCAAGGUCAGUUCGUAUGCUGCGGGAAAUGGCUGCCGAGGAGGUAGGGCUUACGCUUGCGUUUGUCUGUUAUAUCUUGGUGGACGAGUAGUCGCGGUUGGGACUGAGGUGCCUACAACGUGCUUUUGAGUGUGUCUGUGUCUCCGUGUGAGCCGUGUGCGGAUAGCUUGCUAUGCGUGUGUGGUUGUGUGUGGAUUGAUGCGGGCUUUAACUUGUUGCCGUUC
rnacentral:rRNA from 1 species